CAGGGUUAAAAAGUGGUGUUCACCAUAUGUGGGUCCGUUUGUGGUUCACAUAGAAAACAUAUUAGGAGUUAUCAUGAUACUAUUAAAUGAUGUUCUAUUAAUUUCAUUUAUUAUAAGAUAUAUGUAUUAACCGUACUUAUCAAUAGUAGAUAGUAUGUCUAUUGUGUGAAUGAGUAGGCGUAGGCCAUUGGUAUCUAGGCAUGCGCACUAACGGUGUGUCUAUUGGUCAGGAGGUCAUGACACCGGGGGGUAGGUGUGUCGGGUAUACUGUUGAUCUCCUAUCGGGCAUAUAUAUCGACCCCCAGUGCUGAAUGAUCACAGCCCUGAUCCUCCAAACGUCUGAGGUGCUAGGCUAAGCUAGUAGACUCGUCAUAGCGGCUGCAGAAAAAAAAAAAAAAAAAAAAAGAGAAGAAAAACAGCGACCCAACCUGCGCAACUAUGCCUACUGACUGUAAGUAUUCAUAUGAGUGUAAUAUAUUAUUAUUAUUAUUAUAUCAUGACUAUGACCAUGCGUAUACGCGGCCCAUAUCUGAUUGAUACAGUUUUUCCGCAGUGAUUUCUGGCGUCGGCAAUGAGAGCGUGAAAAAGCAGCGGGAUCCACGUGCACCAGGUUCACAUGAUAUUCGGUUGAAUAAUCAAAGAACGAUACUCGGCGAUUGGACCAAUGUGGGGGCCAGCUGUAGUUAUGUGCCUAUCGUGGAUAGUGUGAAACAGUGGACCCCUGGAGCAAACCGUCUAUCCAAGAAAAAUCUCAAAAGACCAAACCUAGGACCGGCUCUACCCUGCUCUCCGCUAACAGUGUCGCAACCACAGAUUCCGUAUAAAAAGGGGCGCAAGGACACCGCUCAUAGUGUUUUAACUCCAGAGAAUUUUAACUUGGUUCUCCAUGCUGUCAUAAACCCUAAAAUCGUCCACCACGGGGGUGGAUGGUCUGAGUCCAAACAGCCGGUGAUUGAGACGUCGGUUGUGCAUGUGUCUGAGCCGCCUACAGAGACCGUUACUGUACAGCCGGAUGGAGGCAUUCAGCAUGUCCUUGGAGACCCUCAGUAUGCACCACUACCAGAACUGACCGAUGAGGAUCUCGAGGGUCUUGCCGACAUUCCGUUGUGGCCCUCAUCGCUGUUGGAACAGCUCGACUUCACUCCCGCUCAUUGGAUAGACCCUCCAGCUACUUCCGUAGGGGGUACCGCCAGUGCAGAACCUGUAAACCAUCAGCCUGCAGCCCCCGCCUCUGGAUCACUACCCAUCAUCCAGGACCUAUCCACGACCCACCAGGCACUGUGAGUCCCUACGCCUACGGUGCAGUGGCUACGCUGCUACCAGUCGGCUCAGCGGUUGCUGAUGAAUACAUUUCGGGUGGGCCAUGUAUCAACUGUUGUAAAGAAUGUGUUGAUAAAUUAACCUUGGUAACUACAGCGGCUGAUGUAAAUUCCUUAACCAUUGGUCGUCAGUGUAAACUGGGUGCAUUGUCUGUGAAACGUAUUGACUGCAGAUUUCAGGCUAUCGAAGAGCAAACGAAGCAGUCACUCAAGACACUCGGGGCCAUCAAGGCCGAUCUAGUGCGUUAUGGGCUGGCUAUAGAAUCAAUACAGCAGAAGAAUUUGGCUGUCGAGGCAGCAGUGCGUGUUAACACUCUGGCUAUGGAUAGGGGGCCUAAGAUAUCUAAAAUAGCUCAGAAAAUUUGGCUAAUUGAAGCUACGGCGCAGGAUAACAUCAGGGCCUACAAGGGCAUGUCUGCCCAGAUGACUGUUAAUAAUGCUCUGGAUAAGCUUUCGAUGAAUCGUUAGUAUUU